rnacentral:rRNA from 1 species
GUCUCUUCGGGGAUGAUUAAACCGGCGCACGGGUGAGUAACACGUGAGUGACCUGCCUUUUAGACUGGAACAACUUACCGAAAGGUGAGCUAAUGCCGGAUGAGUUAUAUAAGUGCAUGUUUAUAUAGGAAAAGUUGGGGAGACCUGACGCUGAAAGAUGGACUCGCGUCCCAUUAGCUAGUUGGUAGGGUAAUGGCCUACCAAGGCGACGAUGGGUAGCCGGCCUGAGAGGGUGGCCGGCCACACUGGGACUGAGACACGGCCCAGACUCCUACGGGAGGCAGCAGUGGGGAAUUUUGCGCAAUGCUCGUAAGAGUGACGCAGCGACGCCGCGUGAAUGACGAAGGCCUUCGGGUCGUAAAGUUCUUUCGACAGGGAAGAAAAUGCCUAUAAGUAACUGUGUAUGUAUUGACGGUACCUGUAUAAGCAGCCCCGGCUAACUCCGUGCCAGCAGCCGCGGUAAUACGGAGGGGGCGAGCGUUGUUCGGAGUGACUGGGCGUAAAGAGCACGUAGGCGGUGUUGUAAGUCAUUAGUCAAAGACUAGAGCUCAACUUUAGUAAGGCUAGUGAUACUAUAAUACUAGAGUAUCAGAGAGGAUUGCAGAAUUCCUGGUGUAGCGGUGAAAUGCGUAGAUAUCAGGAGGAAUACCGUUAGCGAAGGCGGCAAUCUGGCUGGAAACUGACGCUGAGGUGCGAAAGCGUGGGUAGCAAACAGGAUUAGAUACCCUGGUAGUCCACGCUGUAAACGAUGGAUGCUAGGUGUUGGGCUUUUAAGUUCAGUGCC